rnacentral:sRNA from 1 species
GGAUUCCCCUAGUAACUGCGAGUGAAGCGGGAAAAGCUCAAAUUUAAAAUCUGGCGGUUCUGCCGUCCGAGUUGUAAUUUAGAGAAGUGUUACCCGCGCUGGACCGUGUACAAGUCUCUUGGAAUAGAGCAUCAUUGAGGGUGAGAAUCCCGUCUAUGACACGGACUACCAGGGCAUUGUGGUGCGCUCUCGAAGAGUCGAGUUGUUUGGGAAUGCAGCUCAAAAUGGGUGGUAAAUUCCAUCUAAAGCUAAAUAUUGGGGAGAGACCGAUAGCGAACAAGUACCGUGAGGGAAAGAUGAAAAGAACUUUGGAAAGAGAGUUAAACAGUACGUGAAAUUGCUGAAAGGGAAACGCUUGAAGUCAGUCGCGUUGUUCAGGAUUCAGCCUUCCUUUGGUUGGUGUACUUCCUGUUCGACGGGUCAGCAUCAGUUUUGGCCGGUGGAGAAAGGCUUAGGGAAUGUGGCUCUUUCGGGAGUGUUAUAGCCCUGGGUCAUAUACAUCGGCUGGGACUGAGGUACUCAGCGCGCCGCAAGGCCGGGUUUCGACCACGUUCGCGCUUAGGAUGCUGGCAUAAUGGCUUUAAUCGACCCG